CCGCACGGGUGAGUAACGCGUAUCCAACCUGCCCACCACUUGGGGAUAACCUUGCGAAAGUAAGACUAAUACCCAAUGAUAUCUCUAGAAGACAUCUGAAAGAGAUUAAAGAUUCAUCGGUGAUGGAUGGGGAUGCGUCUGAUUAGCUUGUUGGCAGGGUAACGGCCCACCAAGGCAACGAUCAGUAGGGGUUCUGAGAGGAAGGUCCCCCACAUUGGAACUGAGACACGGUCCAA
rnacentral:rRNA from 1 species